rnacentral:rRNA from 1 species
CCUACGGGCGGCAGCAGUGAGGAAUAUUGGUCAAUGGGCGCGAGCCUGAACCAGCCAAGCAGCGUGAAGGAUGACUGCCCUACGGGUUGUAAACUUCUUUUAUAAAGGAAUAAAGUGAGGCACGUGUGACUUUUUGUAUGUACUUUAUGACUAAGGAUCGGCUAACUCCGUGCCAGCAGCCGCGGUAAUACGGAGGAUCCGAGCGUUAUCCGGAUUUAUUGGGUUUAAAGGGAGCGUAGAUGGGUUGUUAAGUCAGUUGUGAAAGUUUGCGGCUCAACCGUAAAAUUGCAAUUGAUACUGGCAGGCUUGAGUACAGUUGAGGUAGGCGGAAUUCGUGGUGUAGCGGUGAAAUGCUUAGAGAUCACGAAGAACUCCGAUUGCGAAGGCAGCUUACUAAACGGCCACUGACAUUGAUGCUCGAAAGUGUGGGUAUCAAACAGGAUUAGAUACCCUAGUAGUC